AUGGACACUAAAAAUAUUUCUGGAAUGACGUGACCCUCUCUCGCCCCAUUCAGGGAAGGGCCGUGGCUUCCUGAGCGGCAGCACAUGCUUUCUUUUCAAUUCUGGAAGUCCCGGGGUCGACCUGCAGAUGCUGCUCCUUCCGUGACCGAUGGCAUUCAGACUCCCAGCUGCCCACAGUGCCAGGCAAACAACUGGACGGGCCGGCUUAGCAGCCGGAGGCUGGCCACAGUCUCAGCCAGAGCAGCAGCCCCCCAGCCCCAGACCACCUGUGCUGCCCUGUCCGCGCGCCGGCCUGGCUGCCUUAGGCUUGCCAGGGCCCCGCCACAGGGGCUGAGCCACAAGCGGCGGCUGGUGGUAGCUGCAGUGGCCUCGGUGCCGGCGUCUUUGGGGCCAGUCCAGGCACGUGGGACCCUGUUUCAGGCCACUCUGAGGCCCAUCCAGGAGCCGAGAGAGACCCAGGACAGCCCCAGGGCUCACCAUUGCCUUUUGCUGUCGCUGAGGAUGGAAGCUGCCACUCCCGAAUCGGAUUCACAGGCUGGGCCAGUGGACAUAGUGGACAACGGCUUGAGCAGUGCCCAAGACGGCCAGCAGCAGCUGCUACUGCCGGCGCUUCCCAAGCCGCCGGCCUCCUCCCAGCGAGAGACGAAGUAUGUGGAGAUGUGUGCCUCAGCAGCGCCGAGGGACAGUCCCCACACUGUGACACUUACCCUGGAACCCUGUCCUGGAGACCAGUGGGCCUCUAGGAGCCCUAAGGAGAUGGUCCAAGCAGAACCCAGCAGCCGCGCGCAGAGCCAGAUGCCAGCUCCCGGAAAGACUCCUACUGCGUCCGCACCCUCCAGCACCCGGCUAUCUCGCACCGCUGCAGCGGAGGAUGACAGUUUCUCCUCCUCUGGACCCUCCUCCCCCGUGGACACCGCUCAGGAAGACAACCUUUCCCAAACCGUAGAGUCUGUCACAUCCCUGGGGGCUCCGGCCACCUCCUCUUCGUCCUUAGGCUUUGAGAGUGAGGACAGUGAGAUCCAGCCUUUGUUGGGAGAAGGGGCAAGACCAGCGAAGGGAGGAGAGGUCGGCAAGGGAGGGGUGGACCACGACCCAGAGUGCAGGGACAUCAUUGCCAAGGCCCAAGGCAGCGGCAGGGACCCCCCAAAAAGUGAGGAGGCUCACUACAUCACCACCCACGAGAUCCAGCUGAGUGAGGUGGAGCAGGACAUGGAUUUCGACGUGGGCCUGGCCUCGCGCUGGGAUUUUGAAGACAACAACGUCAUCUACUCGUUUGUGGACUACGCUUCGUUUGGUGGCAGCGACGAGACCCCAGGGGACGUCACCACCCCGACAGAAGAGGACGAUGACAACAGCUGCUACCUCAGCACCACUCCCAGCACCAAUGCCACCCGCACGCCCAGCCCCACUAGCAGCGACCUGGCCCGCCCUAGCGCCGGCAGCAGCAGUUGUGCCACCAGCAGCACGGAAGUGGGCAGCGGCCCCUCUGAUGGUGACCCUACUCCCCCACCCACUGGCCCUGGCACCAUCACCCUGCCUGAGUCUUUGCCGGAGCCCGGCGAGGCAGCUUCAGGGGCAGUAGCUUUAGCCACUGCCACCGCCGCAAGCAGCUGUGGGAGUGCAGCAAGCCAGAUCCUCCUAUCAAUCAAACAGACUUCCCGGGCUAUAAAUGAGCCUAGCAACGUGCGUGCAAAGCAAAACAUUAUUUACGCUGCCAAGCAUGAAGGCGACAUGAGCCUCAGCGUCUCUACAGCUGCUGAACACAAUUCAAGUUCCCUGAAGCAAAAUCCGGCUGCCACUGUGGCUCAGGACCAUGCAAAGAAAUUCAUUGCCGUCCCGGCUCGCCUGCAAACCAGGUGCGGGGCCAUCCGGGCGAAGGAGCUGGUGGACUACUCCAGCGGGGCCUCCAGCGCCGUGAGUGAGCUGGACGAUGCAGACAAAGAGGUGCGUAGCCUGACCUCCCGGGCCUUCCGCAGCCUUGCCUACCCGUAUUUCGAGGCUCUCAACAUCAGCUCCCGGGAGUCCUCUGCCACGCUCUCUGAAGUGGGCUUUGGGCGCUGGUCCACCUUCUUAGAUCUAAAAUGUGGGGGUGUUGGCGCCAGGGUGGAACAGAGCCUGCUGCGGAGCAGCGCAGCCUCGGUGGCUGCAGGGCUGAGGAAGGGAGCUGGAGGUGGUGGCACCAGGGCCACUGCAGACCAGCUCUACAUCCAGUCCAAGAAGUCCCAGACCAAGGCCUUGGAGUUUGUGGUCAGCAAGGUCGAAGGGGAGAUCAAACAUGUGGAGACGCCCCUGUGUUUCCAGAAGCAGGUGCAGACGGGCUCCCGAGUCGUCACCCUGCUGGAGCCCCUGAGCCUACGCAGUGAGAGCAAAGCCAGCUCAGCUGCUGGGCCCUCCAAGGCCCCCAAAGGCUCAGCCGGCACAGCUCCUGGGUCAGUGUACACGGACGACGGCUCCGAGACCUCAGAGAGCAGCAAGCCUGUCUCCCGGGCCGAGGGUGCCCAGAAGAAGUCCAAGUUUGCAUCCAGCCUGCUCAAAAAUGUCAUUUCCAAGAAGAUGCAGCGGGAACACGAGUUCAAGAUGGAGAGGGGAGAGGUCACUGACACCUCCCACCACCAUCACCACCUGGCCGGCACCUGCAAGGACACGGAGGGACCUGCUGGCACCGAGAAGCCGCGGGACAGGAGCCUGCAGAGGCAGAGUUCCCGCCACUCCGAGGCCGGCUCUGAGUGCACCGUGGUCAGUGUUUCUGAUGCUGAGGGUUCAGUGGUCUGUUCCAAAUCCCCGGUCUUCAAAGCCAGCACUCCUCGGGAGAGCACCGUGGCCUCUGGCCGGAAUUUCAAUGAUACACACACAGAAGAAGUGUGCGAAAUUAAGAAGAGUGCCUCUGAGACAGUCAAGGGCAUCUUUCUGCGCAGCCAGAACAGCGCCUUCCGGUCGUGGAAGGAGAAGGAGAUGGAGAAGCGUGAAGAGAAAGCCCCCAUCGGGAAGCUGAAGCUUCCCAAGGGGGGCGACUGGAGGGCUGACCUCGGGGAGAUCUCGGCCAGCAAGUCCACCAUCAUGUCCCGUCUCUUCGUCCCCAACAUUCAGCAGAUGCCUAAGGACAAGCUGCCUGGGAAGCAGGCCACUAAGUAUCCUGCAGCCCAGGCCACCUCCACUGCAGUCAUCAGGCCCAAGGCUCCGGAAAUCAAGAUCCGGCUGGGGAGUGUGCAGCAGCCGAGCUCCGACUUCAACAUCGCCAAGCUGCUCACGCCCAAGCUGGCCGGGGGCAGCACCUCCAACCUCUUUAAGACCAAGGAGGACAGCAACAGCAGGGCACAGCAGAAACUCUUCCGUGGGGACAACCUUGAAAAGGUGCCCCAGUUCCAGGUCAGAGACGUCCGAGACAAGUCCAAGGCCCAAGGGCCCCUUCAUCAGGUGAGGGAUGUCAGAAAGCUCAUUAAAGGGUCGGGGGACAGCAGUGACAAAGGCAGCGUAACCCCAGAGCAGGGGCUGACCGGGUCCAAGCCCAGGCAGUUGGCUGCUGCAGCCACUGCAUCUGGGUCCCUGUCUCCCAUGGUCAUUACUUGCCAGGCCCUGGUGAACCAGCGGGAAGACAGCACGGACAGAGAGUCCAGGGAGGGCGUGGGCAAAAGGGGCAGCAGCAGGGUCUUGGAUUCCUCUUCCUCUCCGGAAGGGACAGUCUUGGUUCACAGGGCAUCUGGCAGGCUGCCCGUGGCCACCAUCGCACCCAACAAGUCCGAGCAGGGCUCCUACCUGCCUGUGCUCAAGAUCGUCUCCAAGGCUUCUGCCCAGAAGACACCCGAGAAACCCAAGGACGAGGAAGCCAAGGAGGAAGGCAAAAGCGCCCCACCAGCCAGGAACGCCCUGGAGAAGCUGACUGCCGCCGUGAGGUCCAUGGAAGAGCUGUACAGCUUCAACAGGAAUGAGUGGAAGCGCAAAAGCGACCCUCUGCCCAUGCUGACCGACAGCCACGUGCUGUCGUUGAUAGCCAGCGAGGAGAGGGAGAGCGGCCUGGGUGCUGAAGGGGACCCUGACAAGCUAGCCAAACGGCUUGUGGAGGUGGAAGAGCGCAGCGCGGGUGCCAAAGGCGCCGUGGUGAUGCGUGGAGCGCCCCUUGAACGCCUGCAGCGCCGAAACUCCAACCCCAGCGCUGACAGUGUGUCUGCCCGCGCCGCCGCCUUCGAGAGCCUGGCCGCUGGACGUGAAAGGCCGCGGUCCCUCUACAUCCCACCCGUCCACAAGGAUGCCGAGAGAAGCCACCCGCUGCAACCUCUUCCACCGCACCCCAGCAACCGCAACGUGCUCACCGUGAGUGCGGGCAACGCCCAGAAAACCGGGGGUGUGGCCGGCAAGUUCCCACUAGGGCCUUCUCCAGAGAGCCCCUCCACAGCCAAAGGCGUCAGAUCACAGGGACUCCGGUCGCUCAAGAUCUCUCCGGCCACGCGGGCACCUCUGGACGAGAUGAUCAAUAGGAAAGGAGGCAUGGGCGUGGAGAAGAGCAGUAGCGACGGUGAGAACUACCUGACUCAGCCACUGAAGGCAAGUCCACCAGCUGCAGCUGUGGCCACCGCUGCCUCUGGGGGACUUCCUGGCAGGCCUGGGGCUGCUGGCAGCGAGGCGCCAUCCACCUCUUCAGCUGCCACUCUCUGCAGCUUACCUCCACUCAGCGCCCGCAGUCAGGUCCCUAGCAGCCCCAAAGGCUCUCAGGUCAGUGGAACCAGCCGGCCUGCUUGGAGAACCAAGCCUGAUAGUUCCCGGGAGACGGUGGCUGCUACUGCUGCUGCCUCUGCUGCUGCUGCUGGGCCACGAAGCCCCGAGCAUCCCCCUACUGCUAUUUACCACCAGCCAUCACUGCCCUUCACCUUGCAGGGAGCCCAGCCUCAAGUCCUCUGCUUCUCCCCACCCGGCAUGCCUGCCCCAACUCCUGCAGGCCCAGCUGCUGUCACCACAGACCCCUUCCAGCAGCCGCAGCCCCAGCAGACACAGAGGAAGAUGCUCCUGGAUGUGACAACUGGCCAGUACUAUCUGGUGGACACCCCGGUACAGCCCAUGACCAGGAGACUGUUCGACCCCGAGACGGGUCAGUAUGUGGAUGUGCCCAUGACCUCUCAGCAGCAGGCUGUGGCUCCUGUGUCUCUCCCCGUGCCUCCCCUGGCCUUGAGUCCUGGGGCCUAUGGACCUACCUACAUGAUCUACCCCGGUUUUCUGCCCACUGUGCUUCCCCCCAAUGCCCUGCAGCCCACAGCCAUUGCUCACUCGCCAGGGGGCAGUGAGCUGUCCCCCGUGGUGGCAGAAGCCCCUGGCAAAGAGACAGCUGCUGCUUUCACCGAAGUACCCUACUUCAUGGCCUCCAGCCAGUCCCCAGCCUCCCCCUCCUCCUCAGCCACAGCAGCCACAUCCCAGCUCGUGGGAGCCAAGGGCUUUGCCCAGCUGCACGGCAAGCCUGUCAUCAGCAUCACGUCACAGCCCCUGGGGCCCAGGAUCAUUGCCCCCCCUUCCUUUGACGGCACUACCAUGAGCUUUGUGGUGGAGCACAGAUGACAGAUGACCGUCGUCAGGGAUCAGGAUGCAGAAGUUACUGGAACAAGACAAAUAUGGACUAUUCUUCUUUCAAGUUGCAUUGUGUUAGCACUAGGAAUUCAUCAGAAAAACUUCUUCCACAUGUAUUAUUUUUAGUUUUUGCUUCUUAUAAACCAAGUGUGUAAGUUUCUGCAUUUUUUGAACACACUUUUUUAAAGAUUUGACUUUAUCAUCCCUGCCUUAAAGAGAUUUGAUACAUUUUAAUUGUUUUCAUGCUUCAUACAAAUGUCUGCGUUUGCUACAAAUGGAAAGCUCAUACUACCAGAAACAAUACUUUGAACUGCAGGACAGUAUUAAUUCCUAAGUAGACUGAUUAUAAUCUCAUAGUAAAUAUGUGUAUGUGCAUGGGAAAGCAUUCAACAAGUCUUUGUGUUUAAAAACACAAAAUAUACAAAAUAUACAAAAAACACAUGGUAUACAGUUUCCUAUGUGGUGCUUAAGGGUUUCAUUCUACAGUUUACAUGGUGUAGGUUUGCACCCCAAAUUCUCAGGGUAUAUUAUUUUACCCAAAUACUUGAAAGAAAAGGUGCCCUGAACUUUAUUGGUACUGUUGAGGAGGAAAAAAAAAAUGUAAGUUUGUUUA